rnacentral:rRNA from 1 species
CUUUUGCGCUUAAGAGGUAUUUUAAUUCAACAUCGAGGUCAUAAUCUCACUUGUCAAUUAGAACUUUCUAAGUGAAUUAAGCUGUUAUCCCUAAAGUAACUUAUUCUUUUUUUAAAAUUUUUAGAUAUAAAAACAUAUGUUUUAUUCAGAGAAGAAAAGAUAGAUUUUUCCUACCGCCCCAGUAAAAUAUUUAUUUAUUUCUCCUAAAAUAAAAAAUAUAAAGUUUUAUAGGGUCUUCUUGUCUUUAAGAAAAAUUUUAGCCUUCUUACUAAAAAGUUAAUUUCAUUUUUUUAUUCCUGAAAAUUUUCUUCCAGUUUACUCUUUCAUUCCAGUCUCU